CCUACGGGUGGCUGCAGUGGGGAAUAUUGGACAAUGGGGGGAACCCUGAUCCAGCCAUGCCGCGUGUGUGAAGAAGGCCCUCGGGUUGUAAAGCACUUUCAGUGAGGAAGAACGCCUGGUGGUUAAUACCCAUCAGGAAAGACAUCACUCACAGAAGAAGCACCGGCUAACUCCGUGCCAGCAGCCGCGGUAAUACGGAGGGUGCGAGCGUUAAUCGGAAUUACUGGGCGUAAAGCGCGCGUAGGUGGCUUGAUAAGCCGGUUGUGAAAGCCCCGGGCUCAACCUGGGAACGGCAUCCGGAACUGUCAAGCUAGAGUGCAGGAGAGGAAGGUAGAAUUCCCGGUGUAGCGGUGAAAUGCGUAGAGACCGGGAGGAAUACCAGUGGCGAAGGCGGCCUUCUGGACUGACACUGACACUGAGGUGCGAAAGCGUGGGUAGCAAACAGGAUUAGAUACCCCAGUAGUC
rnacentral:rRNA from 1 species